AUUGAACGCUGGCGGCAUGCCUUACACAUGCAAGUCGAACGGCAGCGGGGACUUCGGUCCGCCGGCGAGUGGCGAACGGGUGAGUAAUGUAUCGGAACGUACCAUUCAGUGGGGGAUAACUAUCCGAAAGGAUAGCUAAUACCGCAUAUUCUGUGAGCAGGAAAGCAGGGGAUCGCAAGACCUUGCGCUGAUUGAGUGGCCGAUAUCAGAUUAGCUAGUUGGUGAGGUAACGGCUCACCAAGGCUACGAUCUGUAGCGGGUCUGAGAGGAUGAUCCGCCACACUGGGACUGAGACACGGCCCAGACUCCUACGGGAGGCAGCAGUGGGGAAUUUUGGACAAUGGGCGCAAGCCUGAUCCUGCCAUGCCGCGUGAGUGAAGAAGGCCUUCGGGUUGUAAAGCUCUUUCGGCCGGGAAGAAAUCGCAUCAGCUAAUACCUGGUGUGGAUGACGGUACCGGAAUAAGAAGCACCGGCUAACUACGUGCCAGCAGCCGCGGUAAGAC
rnacentral:rRNA from 1 species